UUUCCGUAAGGUGACCUGCGGAAGGAUCAUUA
rnacentral:rRNA from 1 species